rnacentral:rRNA from 1 species
CCUACGGGAGACAGCAGUGGGGAAUAUUGCACAAUGGGGGAAACCCUGAUGCAGCGACGCCGCGUGAGUGAAGAAGUAAUUCGUUAUGUAAAGCUCUAUCAGCAGGGAAGAAAAUGACGGUACCUGAGUAAGAAGCCCCGGAUAACGACGGGGCAGCAGCCUCAGUCAUAUGUAGGGGGCAAGAGUUUUCCGGAUGUACUGGUUGUAAAGGGAGCGUGGACGGCAGUGCAAGUCUGGAGUGAAAGGCGGGGGCUCAACCCCCGGACUGCUCUUGAAACUGGACGGCUGGAGUGCAGGAGAGGUAGGUGGAAUUCCUAGUGUAGCGGUGAAAUGCGUAGAUAUUAGGAGGAACACCAGUGGCGAAGGCGGCUUACUGGACUGUAACUGACGGUGAGGCUCGAAAGCGUGGGGAGCAAACAGGAUUAGAUACCCCUGUAGUC